UGUGUCAGUGAUAACUAGUGAUGUUGUAUGAUUCAUUGAUCAUGACUAUAAGUUUGGGAGACUUAUGUCCAC